CCUUUGUACACACCGCCCGUCGCUACUACCGAUUGAAUGGCUUAGUGAGGCCUCCGGAUUGGCUUUGGGGAGCCGGCAACGGCACCUCGUUGCUGAGAAGUUGGUCAAACUUGGUCAUUUAGAGG
rnacentral:rRNA from 1 species